rnacentral:rRNA from 1 species
CCUACGGGCGGCAGCAGUAGGGAAUUUUCCGCAAUGGGCGAAAGCCUGACGGAGCAAUACCGCGUGAGGGAUGACUGCCUAUGGGUUGUAAACCUCUUUUUUCAGGGAGGAAUAAAUGACGUGUACCUGAAGAAUAAGCAUCGGCUAACUCCGUGCCAGCAGCCGCGGUAAGACGGAGGAUGCAAGUGUUAUCCGGAAUCACUGGGCGUAAAGCGUCUGUAGGUGGCUCGACAAGUCAACUGUUAAAUCUUGAAGCUCAACUUCAAAAUCGCAGUCGAAACUAUCGGACUAGAGUAUAGUAGAGGUAAAGGGAAUUUCCAGUGGAGCGGUGAAAUGCGUAGAGAUUGGAAAGAACACCGAUGGCGAAGGCACUUUACUGGGCUAUUACUGACACUCAGAGACGAAAGCUAGGGUAGCAAAUGGGAUUAGAUACCCGGGUAGUC